AACGAACGUUGGCGGCGUGGAUUAGGCAUGCAAGUCGAGCGAGGCCACGAUAGCAAUAUGGUGAGUCGAGCGGCGUAAGGGGCAGUAAUACCUGGGAACGUACCCUCCUGUCGGGAAUAGCCACGAGAAAUUGUGGGUAAUGCCCGAUGAUACCGGAAGGUCAAAGGCUUGCCGCAGGGGGAGCGGCCCAGGCGAUAUUAGCUGGUUGGGUGGGGUAACGGCCUACCAAGGCGAAGAUGCUAGCGGGUGUGAGAGCACGACCCGCCGCCACUGGCACUGAGACACUGGCCAGACACCUACGGGUGGGCUGCAGUCGGAGGAUCUUCGGCAAUGAGCGCAAGCUUGACCGAGCGACGCCG
rnacentral:rRNA from 1 species